rnacentral:rRNA from 1 species
UAUGUCUGGGAACUGCCUGAUGGAGGGGGAUAACUACUGGAAACGGUAGCUAAUACCGCAUAACGUCGCAAGACCAAAGAGGGGGACCUUCGGGCCUCUUGCCAUCGGAUGUGCCCAGAUGGGAUUAGCUAGUAGGUGGGGUAACGGCUCACCUAGGCGACGAUCCCUAGCUGGUCUGAGAGGAUGACCAGCCACACUGGAACUGAGACACGGUCCAGACUCCUACGGGAGGCAGCAGUGGGGAAUAUUGCACAAUGGGCGCAAGCCUGAUGCAGCCAUGCCGCGUGUAUGAAGAAGGCCUUCGGGUUGUAAAGUACUUUCAGCGGGGAGGAAGGGAGUAAAGUUAAUACCUUUGCUCAUUGACGUUACCCGCAGAAGAAGCACCGGCUAACUCCGUGCCAGCAGCCGCGGUAAUACGGAGGGUGCAAGCGUUAAUCGGAAUUACUGGGCGU